UACGUAGGGCGCAAGCGUUGUCCGGAAUUAUUGGGCGUAAAGAGCUCGUAGGCGGCUUGUCACGUCGGAUGUGAAAGCCCGAGGCUUAACCUCGGGUCUGCAUUCGAUACGGGCUAGCUAGAGUGUGGUAGGGGAGAUCGGAAUUCCCGGUGUAGUGGUGAAAUGCGUAGAUAUCGGGAGGAACACCAGUGGCGAAGGCGACUACCUGGCCUGUUUCUUGACGCUGAGGCGCGAAAGCUAGGGGAGCAAACGGG
rnacentral:rRNA from 1 species